ACUUUAGUCAGCAUGUGUCAGCACAUUACCUACGAAAUUUUCGUAGGAACUGUAUUUAAUAUUUUAAAAAAAUAAAAUAGCUAUUUUCAGCAAAAUUAAAAUAAAAUAUUUUAAUUGAAAAUCAAAAAAAUUAAAUUAAAUUGAAAAUAAAAUAAAAUAUGUAAAAUUAUGUAAUAGAUUUUAUUGUAAUAUUCAAGAUAUAAUUCAAAAAAAAAAAAAAUUAAUAUUUAAAUUGUAGUUUGAAAUAAGCUGGGCUUUACAAAUAUUAUCACUAAAAUAUUUACACAAAAAUAAAAUGCAAACAUAUUUCCUACCAAGAGCUUUGUAGGCAAAAAACUGACUAUUCCUACAAUAUUUCCGACAAACUUUGUAGGAAACGCAUUUGUGUCAGCGGUCUGCCACUUGUCAGCACAUUACCUACGAAAUUUUCGUAGGAACUGUAUUUAAUAUUUAAAAUAAAAAUAAAAAUAGCUAUUUUCAGCAAAAUUAAAAUAAAAUAUAAUUGAAAAUCAAAAAAAUUAAAUUAAAUUGAAAAUAAAAUAAAAUAUGUAAAAUUAUGUAAUAGAUUUUAUUGUAAUAUUCAAGAUAUAAUUCAAAAAAAAUAAAUUAAUAUUUAAAUUGUAGUUUGAAAUAAGCUGGGCUUUACAAAUAUUAUUACUAAAAUAUUUACACAAAAAUAAAAUGCAAGUGUCCCGUGAAAGGUUGUUCCUCCUUCUUAUCAAAGCUUGUUGAAGUAGCUCUUGCACGUUGUUAUAGUUGAUCUGUUUGCAUCUCCAUCUGAACAAUUUCAAAAUCAUAUAUUA
rnacentral:lncRNA from 1 species